UUAACCGAGGGACGUUGCGAGGUUACGUUAACAAACGAUAACCCCAGGCUCGGUUUGCAAGACACAAUAAUCAAUAAUUGGUCUUGUAAACGGCGUUCACCUAAC
rnacentral:ncRNA from 2 species